CAAAUAUCUCACUCUGAACCACUCUUGGUAAUACUGAUGCACUUCUCUUUCUUCAUCUACAUGCAGAAUGGAGACACUGCAACACCAUAAGUCCUCCCUGGGGGAAAUAUCCAGAACACUCCACCAGACGUUUUGGAACAUGGAGAAUAAAAAGUGAAAAAGAAAUCAAAAACUCCCUUAUUACUUAUAAACUUAUUGUCUAAUUAUGAUUGAUUCUGUAAGGUGAGUAUGAGCACAGUGCAGUACUAGACACUGUUUCUCCCAAAAACAAAUGACUACCAGGAUAAAUUACUGCAUGUUUGGGUCAUAUACUCAGUUUGUUUAGAGCCCUGUUCAACACAUAUCUUUGUUUGAUUAUUAAACACACUUUAAAUGUCAUGUUAUGAAACUGAAGCAUGUUGUAGGGGACCGGUGUAUUCAGCUAUCAGGAAUAUUUAGGCUUCUGUGUGUAUUCUGUGUGUAUUCCUUAUAAUCAGGACAAGUUAUAACACUACCCACGAUAACACUAUUACACAACCCACAUGGAGUGGAGUUAAAUUGAAUAUUUAAAUUGUGGUUUAGGGAUUUAAAUAUUAAGAUGUAUGGGGUUUAUAUUAAUGUGUGUGCAUUGAUGUGAUAAUCUGAUGAUGUAUUAUAAACGGGAAGCUUUGACUUGGGAAUCACUUUGUAUUGCAUCUAUCAAAUGAAAUAAUAAUUAUGAUUACUAUUACCAUUAUGGUUACAGUGUACUCUAGCCUAGGGGUGUCAAACUCAUUUAGUUCAUUUGAUUUGAUUUUAAGUUAUUGGGGGGGCUAGUAAACGACUCCAGGAAGAUCAGCAACUGUAUCUGCCACAGAGUUUCUUGUCAGCUUGAUGUUGGCAAACGCAAAAAAAGAACUCAGAUAUUCUCUGAUAAUUAAAGUGGUGAAUUUGCAAUUAAUUAUUUCUCUGCAAUUUUCACACUUUUCAAAGUCAUCCACUGGGCCUGAUUGGACCCUUUGGCGGGCUGCUUCUGGCCCACGGGCCAUAUGUUUGACACCACUGCUCUAGCCUAUAUCACUGUUUACCAUGUAGCUCUAACUGCUUUCUUCAAUGUAACCAUCGGAGUGGGAUUAAGAUAAACAUUUUUAAUAUUAUUGUUUGCUCAAGGAGGGAAAAUGUAUUAGAUUAUUAAUAUAUAUUUGGGUUGUAAAGGGAAACCUAUCAAAGAGAUUAGAGACUUUAAACUGCAAUGAGACAGCUUGAUGACAGAUUGUUCCAGCUCUAUUUAAAAUAAACCUCUGUCCAACAGAUGAAAUCAUAACACUCGUUUUUUUCAGCUGGGAUGAUGAUGCAUCUUUUAUUCAUGGAUUGUGUUGUCAAAGAAAAAAUUGGGAACAUUUUGUGUAUGAGUAAAGAGAGGCCUUAAAAUGUUAAAAGGAAAAGCAAUCACUCCUGAAUGGAAAGAGAAAUAAAGGGAAAUGUCUCAAUGCUA